GCCUUCGUGGUGUAACGGUUAGCACACUCGGCGCGUAUUCGAGAGAUCCAGGUUCGAGUCCCGGCGAGGACA
rnacentral:tRNA from 1 species